rnacentral:rRNA from 1 species
CUGGCGGCAUGCCUAACACAUGCAAGUCGAACGGACGGAAGUAGCAAUACUGAAGUUAGUGGGCGAACGGGUGAGUAACACGUGAGCAACCUGCCCUAUACACUGGGAUAGCAGUUGGAAACGACUGAUAAUACCGGAUAAGACCGCGCUGUCGCAUGGCAGAGGGGUCAAAGCGAUUUAGCGGUAUAGGAUGGGCUCGCGUCCAAUUAGCUAGUUGGUGAGGUAACGGCCCACCAAGGCGACGAUUGGUAGCCGACUUGAGAGAGUGAUCGGCCACACUGGAACUGAGACACGGUCCAGACUCCUACGGGAGGCAGCAGUGGGGAAUAUUGGGCAAUGGAGGAAACUCUUACCCAAGCAAUGCCGCGUGAGGGAUGGAGGUCCUAUGGAUUGUAAACCUCUUUGAUUAGGGACAAAGAAAGUGAUGGUACCUAAAGAACAAGCCCCGGCUAACUAUGUGCCAGCCGCCGC